GAAACUCAGGCGCGCGGUUAACUCAACGUGUGAGCGGCGCAUUAGUGAGGAAGAUAUUGACCCCCGGACAGUUUUCGAACUCGUGUCUUCUCUUUGAUUCCCGAGUUUUUUGUUUUUGUUUUUUUUUUGCUUCUUUUUUACAAUCAAGAAAGCAGCUCUUGGUGCGUGAAUAAAAACUAACUGUUUCGUCUCCUACUUCAAUAAGUGAUGCAACAAUUGUGACAUUUUGACGUAUUCCUGCCAAACGGAACUACACGUGUGCAUUAGGACACGAGCCCUGAGACCUAUAAGAACUUAUACAUAUCAGGGCUCUCUAAUACCGCGCUUAAUAAACAACGGCGCAAGGCUCGAAGCGAACGCGCGGCGACAGAGCGCGACCCGAAGUUGCUAAUUCAGUUUUCGCGAUUGGACGCCCACGACAAGACGCGCGCCGCGACGCGACGCACAGAGCCGCGUCGGUCGAACUCGCCGAGUGUUCUUCCUUUCUCGCGUGUGGUUUAUCCGUGCUUCGACCAAGUGGUAAAUCUGGAUCAGGAACGCGACACCAGCCAUGGGCGCCGAUCAGGAUCUCGAGGAUUUGAUGAGCCACAUAGGUGACUUCGGGAAAUAUCAGUUACGACAGUAUUUGCUGCUUUCACUAGCGGCAGUAUGUGCCGGUCUUCACAUGCUCACAUCGGUCACCGUCUCCGCCGUCCCCAAACACAGAUGUGCGAUCCCCGAAGUGGAGGUGAACGGGACGGUGUUAGACUGGAACUCGACGGAGGUGCGGUCGUGGAUGGUGCCCGACAAGGACGGCACCGGCUACUCGCAGUGUCUCCUCCACGACGAGUACAAGAACGUCACCUUUAAAUGCGACGCCUGGAUCUACGAUCAUACCUACUAUAAAUCGUCACGCGCCAUCGAGUGGAACAUGGUUUGUGACAGGCGAUGGAUGGGCGCAAUAAGCCAAAUGCUGUACAUGCUUGGGGUUUUCUCUGGUGCAGUUGUCCUAGGUUCCCUCGCUGAUACAUACGGGCGGAAGAAAAUAUUUUACAUAUCAGCCAUUGGUCAGCUAGCAGCUGGAGUUUCCGUGGCCUUCGUGAAGAAUUACGUGACAUUCGUGACGCUAACGUAUAUUUACGGUAUAUUUGGAUCCGCCGGUGCUUUCAUUACCGGCUACGUUCUUGCGAUGGAAAUAAUAGGAGCCUCCAAGCGGACGUUCUACGGGAUUGGCAUGCAAAUAUUCUUCGCAUCGGGGAUUUGCCUGGUCGCCUUCUGGGGCUGGCUCAUCAAAGACCGUGUCUGGCUCCAGCUCGUCUACGGCCUCCACUCCGUCCUCCUCAUCGGCCAUUGGUGGUUGAUCGACGAGUCGCCGCGAUGGCUGUGGGCGAACGGACGACGGGAGGAGGCGGUGGAGAUCGUGGAGCGGGCGAUGCGGGUCAACGACCCGGGGGCCUCCAUGGACACGGGGCGCUUCUUGAAGGGCCUCAAGGGGAAGGAGAAGAACGAGAAGGAGCGGGAGGCCAACGGAGACCACGAGGACCUCCACGAGCCAAGGCCCAACCUCGGCAUCCUGGACCUCUUCAAGACGCCCCAGCUCAGGAUGCGAUCGCUCAUCGUCUGCCUCAACUGGUUUGCGGCCAGCUUGGGUUACUACGGUCUAUCUCUAGGCGCUAGUCGGAUGGAAGGCAAUCCUUACGCAACGUUGUUCUUCAUGGCCUUUAUAGAGGCGCCUUGCUACUUCAUCGUCAUGGCCUAUAUGGACAGGACGGGACGACGUAGUAUGAAUUCCACGUUCCUCCUUGUUGGCGCCGUCUCUCUUCUCGCCGCCACGCUCAUCCCCAAAACUUCACCAGCGAUGCAGCACUUGGUAACGUACGUGAUUUACAUCGGGAAGUUCUGCGUCUCAGGGUCGUUCGCCAUCAUCUACAACUACAGCGCCGAGUUAUUCCCGACCGUCCUCCGGAACACCGGGAUCGGGGUAGGCAGCAUGUGCGCCCGUUUCGCCGCCGCCACAACCCCUCUCAUCUCCCUCCUCGACUCGUUCGACGAGCGGAUCCCGAUGUUCCUGUUCUCGAUCAUCGUGCUGGUGAGCGGGGUGCUGUCGAUGCUCCUGCCGGAGACGGUGAACCAGCCGAUGCCCAACUCGGUGGAGGACGGCGAGAACUUCCGGGUCGGCGACACCUGCUGCACCACCGGCUGCUUCCCCAUCGGCCCGCAGGCCCGCCCCCGCCCCCGAGGCCUCUCCCGACACCGACGCGGCUCCAACGACUCCGUCUCCUCCAUCCAGCUCACCGAGACCCACUCCCUCCAGCACAAGGAGAAGACCUGAUCACCCCCUCCACAGAGAAAAGAGCAGAGCUCAUAGGGCCUGAUUUACAUUUUUAGCGCCCUAGGCCAAACUUAGGGGUGGCGCCUGUAAAAGUAGGCGCUCUCGUGGGGGGGGGGGUCCCAGACGCCCUUCUCCUCCAGAUCAGAAGGAGGAUGUUAGGUGUCCGGAAAAUGUUCAAAUUCAUCUUUAAAAAAAACACCUUUGUCAGCCAUAACGUAGACGUUUUUUAAUAAGUCACGGUUUUUAAUAAAUUCGCAAAAAUUUUGCGCCCCUCAAAAUGUUGCGCCCUAGGCUAUAGCCUAUGUGGCCUAUUGGUAAAUCCGGCCCUGACAGAGCUCCCAUUUCCCGCGACUUUUGAGGUUUUUCUGAAUUUUUCCCCGGAACUUUCAAAGUUCCUGAAAUGUUCCAGAACUUCUAAAAUUCCCAAAAUGUUCUGAAACUUUUGAGUUUUCCGGAACUUUCUCGGAACCUUUGAAAAAAUCCUCGAAGAAUUCCGGAACUUUUGACGGUCAUGGGGUGGGAGAAAUUGGAAUAAAAUAGUUCCGAGUCCCGGAACUUUUGACGGACAUGGAAUGGGAGCACUGGAAAAGAGAGAAGUUCAUUUCCCACUCACGUUGCUGGAUACACACGAAAAUCAGCUAGCGUCUUGCGCCCUAUCAGUGGGAUCAUUUGGGGUAAGGGGGGGGGGUAAAUGCCCCUCCCCACCUAAGGUUUCGUGGACCUAUUGAAAAUGACCGAAAACUCCCAGCCGCUACGCGAUCUAACCUCCGGAGAACGCUUCAAGCCCCCAAAAGGAUCGCUUUUGCAUGGGAUCAUAUUUUACAAAUUUCAAGAGAGGGGGCUUAUUCUGAGGUUAUUUCCUACCGAUAGCCAUAAAAAUUAUGGAAGGCGGCCUGAUUGAUCUCUGGAACAAACUAUGAGGACAAA